UUUCAUUCUUUUUAAAUUUUCUGUUUGGAAUGCCUGUAAGGGACUUGAAGGAAGAUGUCCAGAAAGCAGGGCAUUUGUGACUCUGGAACUCAGGAGAAAGGUCUGGACUGGGAAAUAGAAAAAAGGACCACACAAGGAAAUAGAGGAUUGACAAGCAUAGAGGAUUGACAAGAUACAGCUGAGGUUUUAGAUUGAAAUGUAUCAUGGCCUAAAUCUAUACAGUUUUGUGUGGAGGAAGAAGAGGGAGAAGAAAAGAGAAAGGAAAAAUCUUGGAAGGCAACAGAAGGAUAAAGAUUAUGAAUAGUUAAAAGGUAAUAACUCUUUCCUGUUUGCCUGCUCACCUUCAGGGCCAAUUCUUUGUGCUGUUUUAUAAAUUUGGAAGGGAGGAGAAUUGAAAGAAGCUGAGAAGGCUUGAUCGAUUUACGUUAGGAAGUUAGAGGGAGAAAACAAUCAAUCCAGAAAGACUGGAGGAGGGGAUGUAAUAAAGGAAAAUGUCAUAUUGGUGGUUCUUGGAGAGAGAGUCUGAGGAAGAUUUGAGGGUGUGAGAUAAGAUUCUAGCACAGCCACCCUGCUCUAUGACCUAAGGAAGAGACAAAAGAGAAUUUUAAGAUCUUUUGUUAUACAUUAGCAAUGAAAUCCUAUAUUAGUGCAUCUUCAUUAGAGUUCAGUACAGAUUUAAAAUAUCUGUUCACUUUUCAAUACUUUUUGAAUAUAGGUUGCUGUUUUGCUUGUUUGUUUUUAUCUGAACAUGGCUUUCUAAGUCUAGCCAAAAUUUCUCUAUUUCUUUAACAUAGGCUGAAGGUAGGGAAAGUGGUGUGGGAAAGAGAAAAAAUAAAUACUUAAUACAUUUGGAAAAAAAAAUAGGAAGGAUUAGAAGAUAAUCCAUAUGAUGUCUUGGACUAGGGUAAAUGAGGAAAGAAGGGUUUCAAGAAAAGUGUGAAAGCUUUUCUCUUUUGAUUUUUAUAUCCAAAUCAAGCAAAGGCAGUACAAAUAUGAAAAAUUAUAGACCAAUCUCACAUGAAAACUGCAAUACAAAAGAAUCCCAAAUAAAGGAGUUCUUGCUGUAAUGCAAUGGGUU
rnacentral:lncRNA from 1 species